UAGAAGAUAAACUCAUCAAGGCCGGGGUCUCCUCACACCGAAAGCCGGCCUGCUUGCUCUGUGGGUUUGGCCAAAGAGAGAGACAUACAUGGGGUGGUGACCUUGGUUGAAGGAUCAAUUCUGGGUGAAAGAACAGCCUGUUGGCUGCUGCUGGUUCAUGAUAUUGCAUGGUGGGACUUGACUGCUUGGUACUCUCCACAUGUAUAUUUCUUGAUAGCUCCUUUUCCUCCCUCAUUGCUUUCACUCUUUGUAAUUGCCUAAAUCUCUCUUGCAAUAAAGCGAUAGAGGAUUGAAUGACAAUAGGAUCAGUAUUUUCCUUGCCCAUUUGAGAAGAAAGAUUGUUUU
rnacentral:lncRNA from 1 species